AUAUAUAUACAUGUAUAUAUGUGUUUGUGUAUAUAUAUAUAUACACACACACAUAUAUACAUGUAUAUAUAUG
rnacentral:pre_miRNA from 12 species